rnacentral:rRNA from 1 species
CGAAGGGGGAGCUAGCGUUGUUCGGAAUUACUGGGCGUAAAGGGCGUGUAGGCGGUUUGUUAAGUUUGGCGUGAAAGCUCUCGGCUAAACCGGGAGAGGUCGUUGGAUACUGGCAAACUAGAGGACGGUAGAGGCGUGUGGAAUUCCGGGUGUAGUGGUGAAAUGCGCAGAUAUCAGGAGGAACACCGGUGGCGAAGGCGGAUCUCUGGGCCUUACCUGACGCUCAGGCACGAAAGCUAGGGGAGCGAACAGG